AGUCGAGCGAGAAGUUACUCAAUGAAUCUUCGGAAGAAUUAAGUAAUGGAAAGCGGCGGACGGGUGAGUAACGCGUGGGCAACCUGCCUUUCACAGAGGGAUAGCCAAAGGAAACUUUGAUUAAAACCUCAUAAAGCCGGAAUAGUGCAUAAUAUACCGGCCAAAGAUUUAUCGGUGAAAGAUGGGCCCGCGUCUGAUUAGCUAGUUGGUGGGGUAACGGCUCACCAAGGCAACGAUCAGUAGCCGACCUGAGAGGGUGAUCGGCCACAUUGGAACUGAGACACGGUCCAAACUCCUACGGGAGGCAGCAGUGGGGAAUAUUGCACAAUGGGCGCAAGCCUGAUGCAGCAACGCCGCGUGAACGAAGAAGGCCUUCGGGUCGUAAAGUUCUGUCCAUAGGGAAGAAACAAAUGACGGUACCUAUGGAGGAAGCCCCGGCUAAAUACGUGCCAGCAGCCGCGGUAAUACGUAUGGGGCAAGCGUUAUCCGGAAUUAUUGGGCGUAAAGAGUGCGUAGGUGGUGGCUUAAGCGCAGGGUUUAAGGCAAUGGCUUAACUAUUGUUCGCCUUGCGAACUGGGUCACUUGAGUACAGGAGAGGAAAGCGGAAUUCCUAGUGUAGCGGUGAAAUGCAUAGAUAUUAGGAGGAACACCGGUGGCGAAGGCGGCUUUCUGGACUGCAACUGACACUGAGGCACGAAAGCGUGGGUAGCAAACAGGAUUAGAUACCCUGGUAGUCCACGCCGUAAACGAUGAGCACUAGGUGUCGGCCACUAAAGGUCGGUGCCGCAGUUAACGCAUUAAGUGCUCCGCCUGGGGAGUACGCACGCAAGUGUAAAACUCAAAGGAAUUGACGGGGACCCGCACAAGCAGCGGA
rnacentral:rRNA from 1 species